CUCAGCAGCGACAGAAGCUCCUAUGCUCAGGACCUUCCCAGACUUCCCCCAAGUGUCUCUUCAUCUGGUUGUUCAUCUGUAUCCUUUAUCAUAUCCUGUCAUAAACUGGUCAAGCCCAACCCUUUGAGGUGGGUCCUGUUAUCUCCAAAUUAUAGAUGAGAAGACUGAGGGUCAGAAAGGAGCUGUUGUUUGGAACAGGUUAACACAGAACUCAACCCCAGGACCAAACCCAGAGGGGACUUAGGAAAAGCCGGGAAGCCAAGGCUCUGCACCCUUGUCCUCAGGAGUUCCUGGAUAGCUGAGACACUCGUCUGACUGGGUACAGG